GACGAACGCUGGCGGCGUGCUUAACACAUGCAAGUCGAACGGAAAGGCCCUGCUUUUGUGGGGUGCUCGAGUGGCGAACGGGUGAGUAACACGUGAGUAACCUGCCCUUGACUUUGGGAUAACUUCAGGAAACUGGGGCUAAUACCGGAUAGGAGCUCCUGCUGCAUGGUGGGGGUUGGAAAGUUUCGGCGGUUGGGGAUGGACUCGCGGCUUAUCAGCUUGUUGGUGGGGUAGUGGCUUACCAAGGCUUUGACGGGUAGCCGGCCUGAGAGGGUGACCGGCCACAAUGGGACUGAGAGACGGCCCAGACUCCUACGGGAGGCAGCAGUGGGGAAUAUUGCACAAUGGGAGGAAGCCUGAUGCAGAGACGCCGCGUGCGGGAUGACGGCCUUCGGGUUGUAAACCGCUUUCGCCUGUGACGAAGCGGGAGUGACGGUAAUGGGUAAAGAAGCACCGGCUAACUACGUG
rnacentral:rRNA from 1 species